UAAACUACAUUUUCUAUAACGGAUAUUGUUAAAACUAAACAAAGUACCGUUCUUUUUGUUGUCCGUUUUGUCAUAAUCUUCACAUUUAUCAAGUCCGCGUUUCCCCUUUUUAAACUACAUUUUCUAUAACGGGUAUUGUUACAAUUAAACAAUAUACCGUUUCUUUUUUCCCGUUUGUAAUAAGUUUCAUAUUUAUUUCAUUUGAAUUCCGCGUUUGGAUACAUGUGCAUAAAGUUUAAAAUAUAUAAAAAUAAAUAUAUAAUUAUUAAAAGCUGUAUUUUAAAAAAUGAGUUCAAAUUCAUCAGAUAAGUAAUAUAAGUUUUAAAUUGAUAAAAAUAUAACUUAAGGUAUUUAAAUAGAUUGUGUCGGAGCGUCAACCAGCCGAGGUGUUAUAAAGCGAGUGCGUGCAAAUUCAUCAGAUUGUGUCGGAGCGUCAAAAAGCCGUGGUAUCGUAAAGCGAACCAAUGUGCUUAAAGCGUCCGAAGUAAAGUCAAUGUGGAAUAUUGGAAAAAUAAUCCAAACAUUUGACUCUAAAGAGAAAUGUAUUUCCUUUGCCGAAGAACAAGGAUUGAUUGUAAAAGCUAAAAUUUGCCGCACGCAUAAAGUGCCAAUGACGCUGUCGCUGUAUAAAAGUAGCACUGUUGGGGUGUUUCCAUGCCGGAAAGGGGUUUGUCGGAACCGAACUGCGUUAGCAAGGUCGACCGAUACUUGGUUCGACAACGUCAAAAUCCCACUUCCGCUCAUCUCAUUGGUCGCAUGCGGAAGUGAGGAAAAACAGUUUUAUCAGGGAACCAGUUUUAUCUAGCGCUACUAUAUGUGACUGGUAUAAUUACUGCUGCGAAGCCGUAGUAUUAUAAAACUGGUAAAAUUAUUCAAAUAGAUGAAAGUAAAUAUGGGAAGAGAAAAUACAACAAAGGGCGAAGAGUCGAGGGCCACUGGGUUCUUGGAAUGGUUGAGGAUGGGAGUGACGACCUUUGGCUGGAGGUAUGUCCCGGCAAUGUCAGGUCUGCUGAGGUGCUCAUACCUUCGAUAGAAAAGCACGUGGCAAAAGGCAGUGUUAUAUGUACUGAUUGUUGGAAGGCAUAUGACUAUCUGGCCAGUCACGGGUAUGAGUACCGACGCGUUAAUCACAGCGACCCCGAUAAUCCGUUCGUCGCCGAGAACGGGACCCACACUGAACGCAUCGAAUCCCAGUGGCGCGUAAUUAGACGUUUUUUUAUAAAAGACAAUUACAAUAAUAGCGAAGAUUUUUCUAAUUUAAUAUUUGAAAAUAUUGCAAAUAAUCAUGAUGAUCCUUUUA